GUGACAGGUGACUACAAAGGUUGACAUCUCUAUAGGAAGACACUGGUGAUGUGGAUGUGGAGGAACAGGAGGUGAAUGGAAGUUUUUCAAAAGAUUAAGAUUUUGAGAGUAUCAGGUGGGGAAUAGAGGAAAAAUGACUGGAUAGACCCAGUGUGGUCAAGGAUGGGCCAAGGGAAUUGAAACAUGUAUUGCCAUAUAUUUAGAGAGGCUCCCACUUACAAGCGGACUGUGAGGACUUUCACCUGUCUGGAAGCAUUCACCCAUGGCCUGAAUAGUACGUGCCUCUGAGGGAGUUUCAUCCUGGUGCUAGGCCAGUCAUGUUUCAAAUCUUGGAAACUGCUUGAUGACGGCGUCCCUUCUGGUCGACUGCUGCCACAACAUGAGAGAAAUGCCCAGCUUAGGACUGCUUCCAGUGACUGAGGUUGCAGUUCCAACCACGCACAUGAGCUGCCCCAAAGGAGCUACUCACCUGAGUGACAGCACAGCAGUGCUGUCGGGGAUUUCAAGUGUCCUUCUUUCCAUCUGCCCUCUCCUUUAACUCUUGCCUCUCAAGACUAAAAACUGUACCAAGAUUCUCCAAGAAUCUUCUCUAUUAAUUCCUGGCAAGUUGGAGGUGUAAAUGAGACCCUGGUUAAAGUUACCCCUCUAAUAGCUCUCUGUUAUAUGUGGAGAAAAUGUUUAAUGUUUUGACAUCAAACAUCUAGUGAUGAUAUAAAAAUUUCCUUUUGAAUAUAUGUGGAGUUUAAUGGUGGUGGGUUAGGGAGACAUCUAAUUAGGUGCUUCUCUUAUGUUUUCAUUCUACAAUAUAGUUUUUAAUUGAAAAGUUUCCUCCUAUACCUAUUAUGGAAGCCCAAUAAUUUUCAAAGCAUAAUCUCAAAUGGGAACACAAAUUUAAAUACUCACAAUUUAAAUUUUGUGAAAGGAAAAAAAAUAAAAUUAAAAUUAAAAAAUGGUCCUUUAUGUCAGGCCUCUGAGCCCAAGCCUGCACAUAUGCAUCCAGAUGGCCUGGAGCAACUGAGGAAUGACAGGAGAGGUGAAAAUAGCCAGUUCCUGCCUCGACUGAUGACAUUCCACCAUUGUGAUUUGUUCCUGCCCCACCCUAACUGAUCAACUGAUCCUGUGACAUUCCUUCUCCCGGACAAUGAGUAUCAGAAGCUCCCCACCUAGCACCUUGUAACCCCAGCCCCUGCCCACAAGAGGAAAACCCCUUUGACUGUAAUUUUCCACUACCUACCCAAAUCCUAUAAAACUGCCCCACCCUUAUCUCCCUUUGUUUUUGACUCCUUUUUCGGACUCAGCACGCCUGCACCCAGGUGAUUAAAAAGCUUUAUUGCUCACACAAAGCCUGUUUGGUUGUUUCUUCACACAGAUGCGUGUGACACUUUAGAGACUUUCUCUAAUUUCUACUGAUAAUGCAUGGUGAUCUCUUUUUUGAAAACCAGUUUGUGGGUUAAUAGUUUGACUAUAUGGAGGACUGUGAGAAAUAAAGAGAAAAUGUAUUUUCUUGUGAUUCAGUAUUGCUGGUAGCUAUUUUAACAGUUCAUAUUUGUAUUUUGUGUUUCUUUAAUUUAUUGGUGUGACAAAUAACUCAUUUAUACUCAUUUAUAUUGAUUUUAAUAUACCAUGAAUAAAGUAUUUAUAGUCCAGGCAUUUCAUUUUCUG
rnacentral:lncRNA from 1 species